rnacentral:misc_RNA from 1 species
GCAAACUUGGUCAUUUAGAGGAAGUAAAAGUCGUAACAAGGUUUCCGUAGGUGAACCUGCGGAAGGAUCAUUAACGUAUCUCGAGGCGUGCGUUGGGCCGCCCUGCUCCGGUCGCGAGGCCGUGCAGCGGGUGCCCUUCCUCGCCGAACCUUCACAAACCCACUGUGCACCUUCACGGCGGAGGGCCUGGGGCGAGAGCUCUGGGCCCAAAGCCGUAUCACAAACCCCACGUUUAAGAAUGUCUCAGCGUCCUCUGUGUCGCCUAACAAACAUAACAACUUUCAACAACGGAUCUCUUGGCUCUCGCAUCGAUGAAGAACGCAGC